rnacentral:rRNA from 1 species
GACGAACGCUGGCGGCGUGCUUAACACAUGCAAGUCGAACGGUAAGGCCCUUCGGGGUACACGAGUGGCGAACAGGUGAGUAACACGUGGGUGAUCUGCCUUGCACUUCGGGAUAAGCCUGGGAAACUGGGUCUAAUACCGGAUAGGACCACUGCCUGCAUGGGUGGUGGUGGAAAGCUUUUGCGGUGUGGGAUGGGCCCGCGGCCUAUCAGCUUGUUGGUGGGGUGAUGGCCUACCAAGGCGACGACGGGUAGCCGGCCUGAGAGGGUGACCGGCCACACUGGGACUGAGAUACGGCCCAGACUCCUACGGGAGGCAGCAGUGGGGAAUAUUGCACAAUGGGCGCAAGCCUGAUGCAGCGACGCCGCGUGAGGGAUGACGGCCUUCGGGUUGUAAACCUCUUUCAGCACCGACGAAGCGCAAGUGACGGUAGGUGCAGAAGAAGGACCGGCCAACUACGUGCCAGCAGCCGCUGUAA